AACUCUGACUCGAACAUAAGAUGUGGAUGCUUUACUCAUCACUUGCACUCUUCUCUGUCAUUCAGAUAUACCAAGGAGUGGCUUCAGGAUGCACCAUCUUGACGCUGACGUCUCCCUCAGCAUCUAC